UACGGAGGGUGCAAGCGUUAUCCGGAUUCACUGGGUUUAAAGGGAGCGUAGGUGGGUUGGUAAGUCAGUGGUGAAAUCCCCGAGCUUAACUUGGGAACUGCCAUUGAUACUAUCAAUCUUGAAUACUGUGGAGGUUAGCGGAAUAUGUCAUGUAGCGGUGAAAUGCUUAGAUAUGACAUAGAACACCAAUUGCGAAGGCAGCUGGCUACACAAAUAUUGACACUGAGGCUCGAAAGCGUGGGGAUCAAACAGG
rnacentral:rRNA from 1 species